GCUAUAAUUGUCAGCUAAGUGGCGCACGGGUGAGUAAUGUAUAGAUAACCUGCCCUUAAGAAAGGAAUAACAGUUGGAAACGACUGCUAAUGCCCUAUAUGCCUUUAAUACAUAAGUAUGCAAGGGAAACGCUUUAGUGCUUAAGGAUGGGUCUGUAUGGUAUCAGCUUGUUGGUGAGGCAAUGGCUCACCAAGGCUAUGACGCCUAACUGGUUUGAGAGGAUGAUCAGUCACACUGGAACUGAGACACGGUCCAGACUCCUACGGGAGGCAGCAGUGGGGAAUAUUGCACAAUGGACGAAAGUCUGAUGCAGCAACGCCGCGUGGAGGAUGACACAUUUCGGUGCGUAAACUCCUUUUAUAUAGGAAGAUAAUGACGGUACUAUAUGAAUAAGCACCGGCUAACUCCGUGCCAGCAGCCGCGGUAAUACGGAGGGUGCAAGCGUUACUCGGAAUCACUGGGCGUAAAGAGCGUGUAGGCGGGUAUAUAAGUCAGAAGUGAAAUCCAAUAGCUCAACUAUUGAACUGCUUUUGAAACUGUAUACCUAGAAUGUGGGAGAGGUAGAUGGAAUUUCUGGUGUAGGGGUAAAAUCCGUAGAGAUCAGAAGGAAUACCGAUUGCGAAGGCGAUCUACUGGAACAUUAUUGACGCUGAGACGCGAAAGCGUGGGGAGCAAACAGGAUUAGAUACCCUGGUAGUCCACGCCCUAAACGAUGUACACUAGUUGUUGUGAGGCUCGACCUUGCAGUAAUGCAGUUAACACAUUAAGUGUACCGCCUGGGGAGUACGGUCGCAAGAUUAA
rnacentral:rRNA from 1 species